rnacentral:rRNA from 1 species
CCUACGGGUGACUGCAGUGAGGAAUAUUGGUCAAUGGGCGGAAGCCUGAACCAGCCAAGUCGCGUGCAGGAUGACGGCCCUACGGGUUGUAAACUGCUUUUAUACGGGAAUAACGCGCCUUACGUGUAGGGCUUUGCAUGUACCGUAUGAAUAAGGAAAGCCUAAUUCCGGGCCAGCAGCCGCGGUAAUACGGAGGGUCCGGGCGUUAUCCGGAUUUAUUGGGUGUAACGGGAGCGUAGGCCGCAUGUCAAGCGUGCUGUGAAAUGUCCGGGCUCAACCCGGGCCUUGCAUCGCGAACUGGCGUGCUGGAGUCCGCGGAAGGCAGGUGGAAUUCGUCGUGUAGCGGUGAAAUGCUUAGAUAUGUCGAAGAACCCCGAUUGCGAAGGCAGCUUGCUGCAGCGGAACUGACGCUGAUGCUCGAAAGCGCGGGUAGCGAACAGGAUUAGAUACCCCUGUAGUC